rnacentral:lncRNA from 1 species
AAAAAAAAUUACUCAUCUAAUAGGGAUAUCCCGACUACUACUGGAAACUAAAAAAAAACAACAAAAAAACUUGGGAUCCAAGAGUAACUUAAAAGACAAAAUGAAAUUUGUUCCGAUUGACACCAAUCAAAUAGUAGGGUCACAGGUUCCAAAUUUUCAUAAUGACUCAAAAACGCCUUAAAAACAAAUAAUUUUUGCGACAAAAUUAAAAUCUAAAAAUCUCUGCUAAAAUAAA